rnacentral:lncRNA from 1 species
UCCCACCACCGCCUCGAGAAGAGGCGAAACUCAAAGGGAUGCUCCCUCACCCCCUUCCUCCUUCCAAAGACGUUUCAGCCGCAAUUGGCCCGUUCCUUCGAUCUCCGACCCGCUGCUAGGGAGCGAAAGUCUGUGACUAAUUUUAGACCUUAAUUGUAGUAGCAUAUGUGUUGUGCUUGGUGGCAGUAGGAAAGGACUGAGCAGGAAAUACCGGACCCAGAUUCUGGCUGGUUAGAAAGAGUAACAGAUACCAGA